GUCACGCUCCUUGAUCUUAGUGAUAACCAAAUUAAAAGUUUAUCUAUUUAGCCUCAUCUAAUGUUGCUUUCUUAGUUUCUUUCAAUAGGUCACUUUCACACUAUCAUGCGCAUAUGAUGAGAAACCUUGAAUUUGUUGUUAAUUUGAAUGGAGUCAUAGUAGUUUUCAUUCUUAUUUUAUUUUGUUUUCUCCCUCAACGCCAAAAUUAUCUUUCAGUCUAAAGAAUCGUUGGUGGAGCUGCUGCAAAAUCUCGUAGACAUAGAUAUUACAUUCCAAGGUUGAAGAUUAACAAUCAGCACAAUGUUGUCUAGAACCACCUCUCUCUUUCCCCCUGUUCGAACCGUAGAGACCUGGGCAUCCUUCUUUCCAGGUUUUGGUUUCAAAAUUCUUUUAAUUUCUGUUGAGUUCAAUUAAUUUUAGGUUGUUAAAAUAGGAUUAGAUUAGGUUUUGAUUCUGAAUAGCUGAGAAAUGUUUAGAUUGUUAAUCUGGAUUGCUGAACAUUGCUGAACAUUGUUAAUAUGAGCUUGAUGAAUGUUGUCUAGAACAGAAAUUUAAUUCAGUUAAUGGCUUCUUCUCUGGUAAUGCUUCUUCUCGGUAAUAAUCUGUAAUUUCUAUUGAUCCUUCUUGGUGCUGUGGUGGUUGUGAUUGAGAUCCGGAAUUUGAUUCUUCUUCUUCUAAUUCUUCUCUGCUAAGUUGUUCAAUUUCUAUUUUGUGCUUAAUUUCUUCUUCUUCCUCUUUUCUUUCUUGAAUUUCUGCUAUUGUUGCUGCGAAUUUCUUGAUCACCCACUGCUGCCAAUUUCGCAGCUACAUGUGCCAAGGCAUUUCCUUCUCUCGGAAUCCAGGUAAUGCCACAUUUCUUUAUGCCCCCUAAUAGCUCCCACAUGUCCUGAAGAAUUCAUUGAAUCUCUACCAUGGAACUUUUUGACUUAAUUAUUUGGCAUAACUUUUGAUUAUCAAUCUCUAUAAUUACCUGUUCUAACUGAAAGUUUUUUGCCACUAUUAGUGCAUUCCUGACUACUUCUACUUCUGCAGCGAGAUUUGAGUUAACAAAUAAUCUUGCUGCCAAACUAGUGAGGAAUUUUUCAUGUGAUCCCUGAAGACUGCUGCAAUUGCACCUAAUGAUGCAUUCACAUUAGCUUUAACCCAAUUUGUAGUUGGCGGUCUCCAGAACUCCUGCUUCAAAUGUUGAAACUGAAUGCUCAUUUGGACAAUAUUGAAUUUGUGCUCCAAACCAAGCUGCUCUUGUCCAUGGACAAAGUAGAAGAGCAUGCUCUAUCGUUUUCAGUACCUGCAAGCAAAAUGGACAUAAGGAGGAAUUUGAAAGAGGAAGGAGAAGAAGAAGAGUUGACACUGAUAGUGAUCUUUGGAGCUUACUUAGAUUAUGUAUCAUGCUGUAGUCUUUUAAGAUCAAAGUUUAAAUGUUUUUCCCCUUUGAUUUCGUGUUUUGUAGGAUUCAUUUGCUGGUGAAGCUAAUCAUGGUCAGCCUUCUAGACAAGUGUCACCGUCUUCAUUAAUGGUGCAAAUGAAGCAAGUCAGGAGAACGAGCCACCAAUGAUGGCAGCAUGCGUUCAAGUUUGCUACCCAUCUCACUGUGUUACAUGUUAAGUGAUACUCCAAUACACAGUUUGGUCUUAACAAAUGAGAAAUAAAUUAAUAUAGCAUGCGUUCAAGUCUGCUAUAUAAACACCAUUCAUGAAUUUGCCUCAUCAAAAAAUUGUGAACGCUAAGAGAACAAAGAAAACUUAUUAACCAGAGAAGAAAACAAUGAGUUCAGAAGAUUGCCUUGGUUGGGCUGCAAGAGAUGCAUCUGGACAUCUCUCCCCGUACAAAUUCAAUCGCAGAAGUAGAGAUAGACUGCUUCAAUCAGAUAUACAUGCGGUGGCGGCAUAUUUGAGAUGAAUGAAUUGAAGCUAAGGGUGGCGGUCCGUACGGUGUCCGAACUUAUGCUGGUGGUGAUGGAUCAAGACAACCAACUAAAUUUGAGUUAGAUCAAGCAUUAUAUUGCCACCAUCACUAAAAAGCUCAAGAAAGAAUGAAGCUAUCCAUAAAUUAGGGUAUUGAAUCCUGAUGAGUCACUAGUAGUUACUUGUCAUCUAAUGUAUUCAGUUUAUAUUAUUGCAUGGAAAUAAUUGCUUCUUAUUAUAAAGAAAGCACUUUGUACUCACUUGUGUGUUUUUCUAUUUGUACCAUCAAUAAAAAUUUGUAUUUAUUAAAUUUA